GUGCUUGUCUGGGCAGUACCUAUAGUAAAAUCAUAAUGACAGGGAGAAGAUUAGCAUGGCCCCCACAUAAGGAUGACACACAUAUUUGUGAAACGUUACCCCCCCAA
ensembl:snRNA U6 U6 spliceosomal RNA